rnacentral:rRNA from 1 species
UGGGGAAUAUUGCACAAUGGGCGGAAGCCUGAUGCAGCAACGCCGCGUGCGGGAUGACGGCCUUCGGGUUGUAAACCGCUUUCGCCUGUGACGAAGCGUGAGUGACGGUAAUGGGUAAAGAAGCACCGGCUAACUACGUGCCAGCAGCCGCGGUGAUACGUAGGGUGCGAGCGUUGUCCGGAUUUAUUGGGCGUAAAGGGCUCGUAGGUGGUUGAUCGCGUCGGAAGUGUAAUCUUGGGGCUUAACCCUGGGCGUGCUUUCGAUACGGGUUGACUUGAGGAAGGUAGGGGAGAAUGGAAUUCCUGGUGGAGCGGUGGAAUGCGCAGAUAUCAGGAGGAACACCAGUGGCGAAGGCGGUUCUCUGGGCCUUUCCUGACGCUGAGGAGCGAAAGCGUGGGGAGCGAACA